GCACAACCACAUCCAUGCCAUGUACAAGCACACUGCCGCUCCUACACCGAACAACAUGAGCUCGCAGCUCACUCCCUCUGUCACCGCUCCCCGGUAAAUGCAGGCUUUCGAUGCUGUCUUUCUCUCUUCUUAUUUUGCCGCCGAGAUCUCUGCCGCCGGCUCUGGCAAUUAUUAUUGCCUCCCAAGCACGAAUUUAGCCCUUGCAAGAUCUUCUUCCUCGGCUAAAUUUUAAAUCCAUUUUUUGCAAUACGUCGUCUACUUACACUUGCUCUUGCUCUUGCUCUUGCUCAGACGCAUGCGGAUAUGGAUGCGCAGGGCGACGGGCAAGAUCGGCGUCGAGAUCGAGGUCAAUACCAGGAAACGGGGCGUGCAAAGCGGAUCGGCCUUGAAUAGUCAUCGCUCGUAUCCUUGCGGAAAGGUCAUCUAUCUUGAUACACAUCUCACCACCCUCUUCUUCCCCUUUGCUUUCUUGGUCCCCGACUUUUGCGGUCACUCUCUCCUCCACCUCCACUUCCACCUCCACCUCUUUCAUCUUUCCCGCUUUAUCCUCCACUUUAUCUUCCUCUGUAAACACAUCAGACGAAAAUGAUAGGUUCUUUCUGAUAACCAAGUGAUCUCGAGGCGAUGUAUGUGAUGCGGAUAGUGCGUUGGUAAGAUUCGGUGAAAAAUCGCACUCGGAAAGAACAUCAAAAUUGCUGUGUUGAAAUAGGCGAGAUGUACAAGUACUUGUAUAUCCCAUUGUAGUCGAGGGUAUAAGUAUCUGUUAUGUAUAACACCAU
rnacentral:sRNA from 1 species